rnacentral:tRNA from 2 species
AGCUACUUAGUUUAAAUAAAACGAAUGUUUUGAAAACAUUAUAUAGGCUAACAGCCUAGUAGCUA